rnacentral:rRNA from 1 species
UACGUAGGGUGCAAGCGUUUGUCCGGAAUUAUUGGGCGUAAAGAGCUCGUAGGCGGUCUGUCGCGUCUGCUGUGAAAACCUAGGGCUUAACUCUGGGCGUGCAGUGGGUACGGGCAGGCUAGAGUGCGGUAGGGGAGACUGGAAUUCCCGGUGUAGCGGUGAAAUGCGCAGAUAUCGGGAAGAACACCUAUGGCGAAGGCAGCUCUCUGGGACGGUACUGACGCUGAGGAGCGAAAGCGUGGGGAGCGAACAGG